rnacentral:rRNA from 1 species
GAUGAACGCUGGCGGCGUGCUUAACACAUGCAAGUCGAACGAAGCACCUGGUCACGAUCCCUUCGGGGUGACGACCUUGUGACUGAGUGGCGGACGGGUGAGUAACGCGUGGGAAACCUGCCAUGUACUGGGGGAUAACAGUUGGAAACGACUGCUAAUACCGCAUAAAACUGUCGGAUCGCAUGAUCCGAUAGCCAAAACUCCGGUGGUACAUGAUGGUCCCGCGUCUGAUUAGGCAGUUGGCGGGGUAACGGCCCACCAAACCGACGAUCAGUAGCCGACCUGAGAGGGUGACCGGCCACAUUGGGACUGAGACACGGCCCAGACUCCUACGGGAGGCAGCAGUGGGGAAUAUUGCACAAUGGAGGAAACUCUGAUGCAGCGACGCCGCGUGAGCGAUGAAGUAUUUCGGUAUGUAAAGCUCUAUCAGCAGGGAAGAUAAUGACGUAC